AAGAAUAGUUUAGCUUAGAAUCCUAGCUUUGGGAGUUAA
rnacentral:tRNA from 1 species